CGCUGGCGGCGUGCUUAACACAUGCAAGUCGAGCGGAAAGAGCCCUUCGGGGGCACUCGAGCGGCGAACGGGUGAGUAACACGUGGGUAAUCAACCCCUGACAUCGGGAUACCCCGGGGAAACCCGGAUCAAUACCGGAUAAGGUGCGGAGGCGCAGGUCGCCGUACCAAAGGUAGCUUCGGCUUCCGGUCAGGGACGAGCCCGCGGCCCAUUAGCUUGUUGGCGGGGUAAUGGCCCACCAAGGCGACGAUGGGUAGCUGGUCUGAGAGGACGAUCAGCCACACUGGGACUGAGACACGGCCCAGACUCCUACGGGAGGCAGCAGUCGGGAAUUUUGCGCAAUGGGGGAAACCCUGACGCAGCAAUACCGCGUGUGGGAUGAAGGCCUUCGGGUCGUAAACCACUUUUUUCGGGGACGAUAAUGACGGUACCCGAAGAAUAAGCCACGGCUAACUACGUGCCAGCAGCCGCGGUAAUACGUAGGUGGCAAGCGUUGUCCGGAUUUACUGGGCGUAAAGCGCGCGCAGGCGGUGAAUGAAGUCGAAAGUGAAAGCCCCGAGCUCAACUCGGGAACUGCUUUCGAAACCAGUUCACUUGAAGGUGGAAGAGGGAAGUGGAAUUCCGAGUGUAGCGGUGGAAUGCGUAGAUAUUCGGAGGAACACCAGAGGCGAAGGCGACUUCCUGGUCCAAUCUUGACGCUGAGGCGCGAAAGCUAGGGGAGCAAACAGGAUUAGAUAUCCUGGUAGUCCUAGCUGUAAACGAUGGAUACUAGGUGUUGGAGGUUUUAACCCCUUCGGCGCCGCAGCUAACGCAUUAAGUAUCCCGCCUGGGGAGUACGGCCGCAAGGUUGAAACUCAAAGGAAUUGACGGGGGCCCGCACAAGCGGCGGAGCAUGCGGAUUAAUUCGAUGCAACGCGAAGAACCUUACCAAGGCUUGACAUAUAGAGGAAAGACGUAGAAAUACGUCCCCCGCAAGGUCUCUAUACAGGUGGUGCAUGGUUGUCGUCAGCUCGUGUCGUGAGAUGUUGGGUUAAGUCCCGCAACGAGCGCAACCCUCGUCCUAUGUUGCCAGCACGUAAUGGUGGGAACUCAUGGGAGACUGCCGGGGUUAACUCGGAGGAAGGUGGGGAUGACGUCAAGUCCUCAUGCCCCUUAUGUCUAGGGCUGCAAACACGCUACAAUGGCCGAUACAAAGGGUUGCCUGCUCGCGAGAGUUAGCUAAUCCCAUAAAGUCGGUCUCAGUUCGAAUUGAAGUCUGCAACUCGACUUCAUGAAGCUGGAGUUGCUAGUAAUCCCGGAUCAGCACGCCGGGGUGAAUACGUUCCCGGGCCUUGUACACACCGCCCGUCACACCACGAAAGUCGGCAACACCCAAAGCCGGUGGCCUAACCGCAAGGAAGGAGCCGUCUAAGGUGGGGUCGGUGAUUGGGGUGAAGUCAUAACAAGGUAACCGUA
rnacentral:rRNA from 1 species